rnacentral:rRNA from 1 species
UACGAAGGUGGCAAGCGUUGUUCGGAUUUACUGGGCGUACAGGGAGCGUAGGCGGUUGGAUAAGCCCUCCGUGAAAUCUCCAGGCUUAACCUGGAAAGUGCAGAGGGGACUGUUCAGCUAGAGGAUGGGAGAGGAGCGCGGAAUUCCCGGUGUAGCGGUGAAAUGCGUAGAGAUCGGGAGGAAGGCCGGUGGCGAAGGCGGCGCUCUGGAACAUUUCUGACGCUGAGGUGCGAAAGCGUGGGGAGCAAACAGG